rnacentral:tRNA from 1 species
GCACGCCCCGCCGGCCCGGUGCGGCCCUCGCCGUCGACGCCGGCGGCACGGCGGCCGGUUCCGUCUCCGGCGGAUGCGUG